CCAAUAGCGUAUAUUAAAGUUGUUGCAGUUAAAAAGCUCGUAGUUGAAUUUCGGGAUCAAUACGUCGGUCGUGCUUCGGUACGUACUGGCGUCAUUGAUUUCUCCCUUCUGACGAACCAUGAUUUCAUUAACUUGGUGUCUUGGGAAAUCAGGACUGUUACUUUGAAAAAAUUAGAGUGUUUAAAGCAGGCUCACGCUCGAAUACAUUAGCAUGGAAUAAUGAAAUAGGACGUUCGAUCCUAUUUUGUUGGUUUUAGGAUCAACGUAAUGAUUAAUAGGGAUAGUUGGGGGCAUUAGGAUUCAAUUGUCAGAGGUGAAAUUCUUGGAUUUAUUGAAGACUAACUACUGCGAAAGCAUUUGCCAAGGAUGUUUUCAUUAAUCAAGAACGAAAGUUAGGGGAUCGAAGACGAUCAGAUACCGUCGUAGUCUUAACCAUAAACUAUGCCGACUAGGGAUCGGAUGAUGUUAAUUUUUUAAUGACUCAUUCGGCGCCUUACG
rnacentral:rRNA from 1 species